GGCCUAAACCGGAGUAAUCCGGCAUGGCAUUAAGACCAACGAAGAUAAAGAACCCAUCAUAUAGGGUCGUCUUCGUUGGCCGUGUCGGGAAACUGGCACGGGGGCUUCGGCCCC
rnacentral:sRNA from 1 species